ensembl:rRNA predicted gene, 23536
UAUGGCCAAUACUCUGAAUGUACCUGAUUCUGUCUGAUCUCAGAAACUAAGGAGCACUGGCCUUGGUUAGUUCUUAACUGGGAGAAUAUGACACUUGAAGAUGAUCCAUGCUAGACAUUUGGAACUGUCCAUAA